UUGAAAAACCAAAAAAAGAAAAAAAGACUGAGCUAUAGAUGAGAAAUUCUAGUCUUUGGCCAAGCAGCAUUUGUACCUAACAUAAGUCUCUAUAUAUUAUCUGGGGCCCUAACUUGGGCGGCUGUCGGAAAGCGCCCUAGUAGCGGUAGGGCUGUGGAGGUGUUUGGGGAAAAGAUUUAUCGUAACAGGACCCUUGUGAUAUAUCCACAUAAUUUUAAAGCAUUUCCUUGAUUUCUAGCAUACAGUGUGAGUUCACUGUAUUUUCCUUGCCUUAGCUCAAGAAUAAGAAAUUUCCCCACAAAGUCUAAGGGUAGACUGUAGAAGUCAAAAUCUAAGCUCUCAGUGUCUUCAUUGAUGCUAAGGUCUCAUUGCUUCUAGGUCCUCUCAGCUUUUGAAACUUUGAAAUCCAAAUGUACACAUGUGGUUGAGUAAUUUAUGAUGGGGAUGAGUUAGAUUUAAUGGGAGAAGGGGAAGCUGGUGUGGCAAUAUUAUAUAGCUGUUCUACUUGGUUAAUGGUUGUUGUGUGUAUAUUUCUACAUCUGUCUAAAUAUAAUUAAAACCAUGAGAUUACAUUAAUGAAAUCAAUCCCAAUCUAGUUCUGCAUACUUGCAAAGCUUUCCCUGGUCCACAUGUGUAAGUGAAAAGACAAUCUUAUGCAUAAUGUACAGACACUCAUCAGUGUCUGUGUCAGUGUCCAGACAGCAUGCAUAUAAAGUUUACUUUGGUAUGCGUAUCUGCUUGACUCAUCCUAUGUGUAACAGACUCUUAACCUUAGAAAGCCUGUAGCUCCUGUCCAGAAGUGCAACCUUUUGGGUCAUUAUCCAAACCACCACCAAGUAGAUGUCAGUUCUUCCCACAACGAAUGUGGGAAUGAAUGUAUUCUAUUCCAGUCCAAUCAAAAUCCCAUCAGGAACUCAACAAAUCUUGUAGAAUUCAAUAGGGAAAGAUCUAUGAAAAAAAAUAUGCCAGUUUGAGGAAGGAAAAAUUAGAGAAGCCAAUAACAGUGUUUUAGUGGAAACAUAGCACAAAGGUCCUUGUUCCUACAGAUCUCCAGAGAAACCAGGAAUGUUAAGCACACAGGAUUGUCUUUUCAAUAGGAAAGAUGAAAAACCUGUUCUUCCAUCCAGAAAGCUGAGAGUUGGAAGUGAGUAACAGCCUGGUGAUUGUGCAUUAUCUAUUGGACCAAGCUGUAUGAAGCUCUUAAAACCAGUACUGGAAGUGACUAGUAAUCUAAAUGACCCUUAUAGCCAGAGGCUCCCCCAAGCUCCCACAGCCAGGACAGAGGUGACUAAGAGCCCAAAUAACCUCUCUGUUACCUGUAAAACCAAGACCAGGCCAGACAGACCCUUAAGCCUGUACAGCUAGCAUAUCUCAAGAACCCAUCUUCUUGGAAGAGAUAACAUGUACCCUGAGUUGAGUUUAAAUGUAAUUUUGUUUCCUUGUGCAGCAGGGAUUGUAUUACAGCAGGAAACUUUUUUCCCCCAAAUUAUAUUGGGAAUAAACUGCCUGUCGUUAGACUCCCGGAAGUCAAUCUGCACCGGGUUUUCAUUCUUACCUCUUCCUGUGGUCCACUUCCCUGUAUGAGAUGUGAGCAGCCUAGAUUCUCCUCAAGGAGAAACAUGCCAUCUACUACAGGGAAUGUGGCCUGUCAUGUCCAAGGACACAGCCUUCCCCAAACACUCGGAUGUAGUGACUCAGUGUGGACCUGGUCAUUUUAGCCUAAUGUAGGACACACUGACUGUCAGUAUUGGUUCAAGUGUUUCACUAUGUUGACUAACCUGUGGUUUAGCCCCCAGCUUCUUAAACUUUGGUUUGGGGACCCACACCGGGUAUUGUCUCUGAAUAUGGUAGUCACCAAAACUUCAGGAGCAGCAAAAUUUAUAAUGACAGGUAACAAAAUCGGAGUUGUUUCUGACUGUUUACCCAUGUUGCAUCAGUCAACUUCACUGAAGCCUGACUUCCGAACAGGCAACAUGGCACUUUACACUGUGUGCCAAAACAUCACAUGACGUCAGCAAACACCACCUGAAACACCUCAGUUAGAUUCUAUAUGAAUUGCAUUAUUUUUACUAGACAUAAGAAAUUUUCUGCUCUUGGUGCUGGAGACAUGACUCAUUGGUUUUUCCAGCACCCAAACCAUCAGAAGCUCACGAUUUCCUGCAACUCCAACACUACAAAGAUCUGUUGUCAUCUUUUGGCUUCAACCAGACCUGCACACAUACGGGGUAGACAUACAGACAAACACAUACAUUGUCGUGUCUGAAUGUGCCUCUGUGCACAUUUUUCUGCAAGGUUUUCCUUGGCUGCUCUUGGGCCUGAAUAGGAAAGGAUCUCAUAUGCAGAGCCUCUGACUUAGACUGGAUACAGAAGAAAACAGCUACUGGAUUUGGAUCUCUUGAGACAGGGUUUGGCUAACUCUUGAAUUGUUAGUCCUCCUGUGUCCCUAUGCUGGGGUUACAGGUAGGCAACCACCUUGCCCAAGGAGAGACCUUGAUCUACUCCUGACAUAGCGGUUGGAGUCCCACACUUCCACGCCUGAGAAAAACAAUACACAUAGAGACUGGAGAGACAGCUCAGCAGUUAAGAAUGUUUGUUGCUCUUCUGGAGAAGCCAAUGUCAGUUCUCAGCACCCACAUUGAGAAGCUCACAACUUCCUAUGAUCCUCCAGCUCCAGGGAUCUGACACCCUUUUGGUCUCCCCUCCCCACAGACACAUCCACACAAAAUUCAGACAUUGAACCACCCUUCCCAGUGAAUAACAAUCAGUAAAGGUUGACAGAUAUGAGGCACACAGCUGUAAUUCCAACAUUCUGAAGACUGAGGCCGGAGGAUUUCAUGUUCUAAGUCAGCCUGAGGUUCCUAUCAAGAGCCUAUCUCAAAGAAAAACCACAGAAAGAAAAAACAAUAAAAAAUUUCUAGGCAUGAGUUGGGAUAGAGUAUGGUUAAGACUGUACCAUCUUUGACUGUGUUUCUAUUGUCUUCCUCCCCUGCUUCCUCAGAAUGGCUCCUUGAGGGCCUAUGUCCAUAAGGUCUUCCAAGGUAGCAGUGUAGAUAAGAACUAAGGGUAUAGGCUGUGGUGUUAAUUAUAUGCCUGGGUUCAGAUCUCAGGAUGUCCAUGUGUGAAUUAAAAUUUGGGGGUUAUUUAAAUUGUUUGACCUCUGUUUUUCUUAAUACAAGAUAAGAAAAAAGAAGAGUAUAUCUUCUUUCCAGAGUUGUUCUGAGAUUAUAUGACAAAAUAUACAAGGAGUUCCCAACACACAAGCAAGAGACCUGCAAACACUGCCUUUCAUUUACUACUGCUGCCUUUAGUAGCCCCAGGCACACUUCCUUAUCUUCCAGCCCUCCACAGUGAGCCAACUGGACCAGAGUUCUCAAAGUGUUCCAGCAUGUAAACAAGUAUAAUGAAAAUGAGUCGCUGUGAACCAUCAUUUCCUCAACUGUCAAAUGUUAACCGCUGAGCUUGAGUGAAACAAAUUUUACAAAGUUCUUGGUUGAGACUAAAUAUUGUUUUUCAUUUUCAAAUUGUUGAUUUUGGCAAAUGGGAUUGACUUUCCAUUAUUGUAAUGACCUAAAAUGUCCUUCAAAGUGUCUUUUUAAAGGUGAAGACGUUUAAAGAAAAAAAAUUGAGUAGCAGUA